rnacentral:rRNA from 1 species
GACGAACGCUGGCGGCGUGCUUAACACAUGCAAGUCGAACGGAAAGGCCCUGCUUUUGUGGGGUGCUCGAGUGGCGAACGGGUGAGUAACACGUGAGUAACCUGCCCUUGACUUUGGGAUAACUUCAGGAAACUGGGGCUAAUACCGGAUAGGAGCUCCUGCUGCAUGGUGGGGGUUGGAAAGUUUCGGCGGUUGGGGAUGGACUCGCGGCUUAUCAGCUUGUUGGUGGGGUAGUGGCUUACCAAGGCUUUGACGGGUAGCCGGCCUGAGAGGGUGACCGGCCACACUGGGACUGAGAUACGGCCCAGACUACUACGGGAGGCAGCAGUGGGGAAUAUUGCACAAUGGGCGGAAGCCUGAUGCAGCAACGCCGCGUGCGGGAUGACGGCCUUCGGGUUGUAAACCGCUGUCGCCUGUGACGAAGCGUGAGUGACGGUAAUGGGUAAAGAAGCACCGGCUAACUACGUG